rnacentral:lncRNA from 1 species
CCAAUCCCUGACAUGAUUGGGGUCUCUACAGGAAGGCAGAGACGAAGGGGGCCGCCCAUGAAGGGCGUCUGGAGCUAGAAGCCCAGAGGCAUCGACGACCGCCCGCCACCCACCCCAGCCGUACCCAGCCCAACCCGGGGGCUGGCGUGCCCGGGAGCUGGGCCCGUGGCGAGUCUUUCACCAGGAGGGAGGACACUGAAGGCACUUACUAG